rnacentral:lncRNA from 1 species
CUGGUUCACUGGGAGGAGGUGGGGGAGGGGUGGGAGAAACUCCUUGAAGCUAAAACCCUUCCUCCCAUGGCAGUGGCCUGGGAAAGCUGCCUGGCAGCCAUUGCUUUUCUGAAGUAGCUAUCAUCCCCCUUCCCUGCAGUGGUGGCCAUCGUGAGGUCUCAGCUGGGAUGAUCUUGAGUUCUCAGUUUUCCUGCAACGGCUGCUGUUCUGGGGCCACUACCUGUGCUGAAGGCUAAGCUGAUUCCUCUGAACCUCUGAGUAAUUUAAAUCAUCUCCCAACGAAUUACCGAGUGAGUUCCUUAUUAGGGGAGGAGGGAUUAUAGGAAUGGCAGACACAUCCAGAGUCCUUUUAGUCUUCCAUGAGUCCACCAAGACCCUUGAAAGAGGACUUAUUGCCUGUAGCUUGGCAAUGAUGCUACACGUCCAGGAAGUCACCACUCUGCUCAGUGUGCAAGGCUGGGUCUGUGGCUGUAUUAAUCCCACUUCUUUUGUCAUUGUCUCCAUAACAUGAAACUAGGAAAGAACCACCUAGAAAGGAAAUUGUUGUCCAAGUUCAAUUGGCUAAUCCUUGGGUCAUGCGUAGCUAGGGUUGGCUAUAUAAUUUGUGGAACUGUGCUAGUCAGGUAUCCAUUACUAUAACAAAUUUUGGCUUACAGUGAUGGAGCUUUCAGUGCAUGAUUGGUUGGCCCCAACGAUAUGAGACUGUCACGAGGCAGAACAUCAUGGCAGGGAGCUCGUGGUGGAACAAGAUGCUCUUCUCCUCGUGGCUGGCCAAAGGCAGAGAGGAAAAGCCCAGUGUUCCACACAGUUUCCUUCAAGAACAUACUCUCAGUGUCCUAAGACUUUUUGACUAGUCCCCCACUCCCUAAAGACUUCACCAACUCCCAAUAGUGCCACAGGCUGGGGACCAAGACUUUACCCACUUAUCCAAACCAUAGCAGAGGUGCAGUACAAAAUAGAAAUGAGGGAUCUGUUGUUGAAAAAUUAUCGAGAAUUUCAAAAUUGGAAUAGCUGAGCUUUAAACCAGUACAGGUCCCAUGCAACAGCACAGAUCAUGUGUUCAUGAACCCCCCGACUGUAGUUUUUAUUUGAAGUCUAGUUUUCAGAGUGGAGUGCCAGAAAAGGUAAUACUUUAAGAAUUGUUCAAGAAAGCCAGGAAAGAGAUCUGCCAGCUGGCUGCCAGCAGGGCAUUCUUGUGAACAAGUAGUGCCUUGUGGGUCACUAUGAAUAACGGGCUCUCAUCCAGUGACUUUCCAUAGGUUAAAUCAUUUCAUAUACUUGCUUGCAUAUCAUUGAUUUAUAUCUAUUAAUCAUUCAUCCUCACAAUGAACAUAUAAAGUAGGCACUGUUACC